rnacentral:rRNA from 1 species
GAGUAAUGUCUGGGAAACUGCCUGAUGGAGGGGGAUAACUACUGGAAACGGUGGCUAAUACCGCAUAACGUCGCAAGACCAAAGAGGGGGACCUUCGGGCCUCUUGCCAUCAGAUGUGCCCAGAUGGGAUUAGCUAGUUGGUGAGGUAACGGCUCACCAAGGCGACGAUCCCUAGCUGGUCUGAGAGGAUGACCAGCCACACUGGAACUGAGACACGGUCCAGACUCCUACGGGAGGCAGCAGUGGGGAAUAUUGCACAAUGGGCGCAAGCCUGAUGCAGCCAUGCCGCGUGUAUGAAGAAGGCCUUCGGGUUGUAAAGUACUUUCAGCGGGGAGGAAGGUGUUGUGGUUAAUAACCGCAGCAAUUGACGUUACCCGCAGAAGAAGCACCGGCUAACUCCGUGCCAGCAGCCGCGGUAAUACGGAGGGUGCAAGCGUUAAUCGGAAUUACUGGGCGUAAAGCGCACGCAGGCGGUCUGUCAAGUCGGAUGUGAAAUCCCCGGGCUCAACCUGGGAACUGCAUUCGAAACUGGCAGGCUUGAGUCUUGUAGAGGGGGGUAGAAUUCCAGGUGUAGCGGUGAAAUGCGUAGAGAUCUGGAGGAAUACCGGUGGCGAAGGCGGCCCCCUGGACAAAGACUGACGCUCAGGUGCGAAAGCGUGGGGAGCAAACAGGAUUAGAUACCCUGGUAGUCCACGCCGUAAACGAUGUCUACUUGGAGGUUGUGCCCUUGAGGCGUGGCUUCCGGAGCUAACGCGUUAAGUAGACCGCCUGGGGAGUACGGCCGCAAGGUUAAAACUCAAAUGAAUUGACGGGGGCCCGCACAAGCGGUGGAGCAUGUGGUUUAAUUCGAUGCAACGCGAAGAACCUUACCUGGUCUUGACAUCCACAGAAGAAUCCAGAGAUGGAUUUGUGCCUUCGGGAACUGUGAGACAGGUGCUGCAUGGCUGUCGUCAGCUCGUGUUGUGAAAUGUUGGGUUAAGUCCCGCAACGAGCGCAACCCUUAUCCUUUGUUGCCAGCGGUCCGGCCGGGAACUCAAAGGAGACUGCCAGUGAUAAACUGGAGGAAGGUGGGGAUGACGUCAAGUCAUCAU